rnacentral:lncRNA from 1 species
CAUAUUUGUUAUUGUUUUGUAUCUAAUUUUAAAUGAAAUAGAAACUCUGUGCGCACUUACUUAGAGGAAAGCCCAGUGAACGCAGUAGCACUUUCCAAUUAAGGAGACAAAGAAGAAAUUGGCUUAAGAAAGUCUCUGUCCGCUACCCUUUUGCUGUUUACCGUUGAUGACAAAUUUACAAACUGUAGUUGCAAACUUUCUCAGCAAAUUUCGUCUUCUUUUCUCUCCUGUAGAGUAUCUUUAAGUUUUCAUUUUAUAAUCCUUUGCAGAAACACCUUAUAUUAUGAUCUCCUAGAAAAAGCCACGGGGAAAGAACAGCAGUUUCAACUCGCUCCUCCCCGGCAGUCCAAUUUUUCAUGAUCUUGAGCAAUUCUCCUGAGCGCGCUCUGUUUUGGAACUCCAUUUCCCGGGAGUCUUUGCCGGUCGGGAGUUUGUUGCUUGGCAACGGGCGUAAACCAGCCAUGGAGCCGAAGGGGGAGAAGGAAGGAAAAGAUGGGAAAGACCAGAAUGCACCAUCAGAAGCACCAGACAAUUCAGGGGAACAGAAGGAAGGAGCAAAGAACAUUGCAGAUGGUAAGCAUUACUCGCACAUCUGUACAGCCUUAAAUACUAUUUGAAGUGACUCUGGAUAUAGAACAUAAAGAUAUGCCCACAGUAAACAAAAUGAGUUUUGUGCUUUGAAGAAAAUGAUACUUUAAAAGCUGUUCUGUGAUUUAUGGCUUGGUAUUCAAUUGU